GGUCCCAUAGCUCAGCCGGUUAGAGCGCUGUGCUAAUAACGCAGAGGUCCUGAGUUCGAUCCUCAGUGGGACCA
rfam:Stentor coeruleus isolate WM001 SteCoe_contig_513, whole genome shotgun sequence.